rnacentral:lncRNA from 1 species
GGCAGAACCGAAUCACUUUGUCUUACUGACAUAUCUAAUCAGACUGAAUAGGAUUUGAAGAGCUGUCACGAUCAUUCACAUAAAUUUCAGUGAAUUAUUGAAGCUACCAGUGUGAUUGAUCAGACAAGUACCAAGGGCUUUCGGUAGACUUCUUUCAUUUCUGAAUUAGCUUGCGACAAGUCCUAGCAUUAGUAUGAGCUCGUUGACCGCG